rnacentral:tRNA from 1 species
UAAAUUUUAGUUUAAAUUAAAAAUAAUUCAUUUACAUUGAGUAGAUCUAAUUGGGAGUUAGAAGUUUAA